rnacentral:rRNA from 1 species
UACGGAGGGUGCAAGCGUUAAUCGGAAUUACUGGGCGUAAAGGGCGCGUAGGCGGUUUAUUAAGUUGAUUGUGAAAGACUUGGGCUUAACCUGGGAAAGUCAAUCAAAACUGGUAAACUAGAGUGAGUGAGAGGAGAGUGGAAUUUCCGGUGUAGCGGUGAAAUGCGUAGAUAUCGGAAAGAACAUCGAUGGCGAAGGCAACUCUCUGGCACUUAACUGACGCUGAGGCGCGAAAGCAUGGGGAGCAAACAGG